rnacentral:rRNA from 1 species
AUGCUCACCGUCCACAGUUGCAGCAAAAAACAAAUAGCAUUGAGCGCAACAGCCUGCAUACUGAUGUUCUCCCUGCUCCUCUUCAUUUUUUGUUCACUUCAGACCAUAUUCCUCAACGACAAACCUUUCGUCAUCGCCACAGCAUCUUCUAGAUCAUUGCAUGAGAUCGACUCCAAUUCAAAGCCUAUUAACGGGCUUCAAAUUUUUUCAUUGGAGGUUAUUGCUAACCUGAGUGCCAGCAAGGUGGAAACUGGACAGCAGAUGGAAGGCGGCACUCAUAACAUUACCAACGUGACUGAGAAUGCGACAUCUGGGUGGAGCAUUGUGAAGGAGGAGCUGACGUUUUCAGCUGGAAGUGCACCUUUCAGUAGCUGCCAUGCUUCCACCAUUGUAGAGAUUGGGAAAGACAACUUUUUGGUGGCUUAUUUUGGUGGAUCCAAGGAAGGUGCUCCGGAUGUCAAAAUCUGGUUGCAGAGAUACAGUGAUGGUCACUGGCAUCCUCCAGAAGUUGCUGAUGAGCAAGAUGGGGUGCCCAUGUGGAAUCCUGUACUAUUUCAGCUCCCCUCUCAUGAGCUGCUGCUCUUCUACAAGAUUGGUCAGGAAGUUCAGAAGUGGAGUGGUGCCAUGAAAAGAUCGCUGGAUGGCGGCAUAUCCUGGUCAGAGAGAGAGCAGCUACCGCCUGGUAUUCUUGGCCCUAUUAAGAACAAGCCUUUCCUGCUUGAAGAUGGUCGCCUACUAUGUGGGUCCUCAGUAGAAAGCUGGAACUCUUGGGGUGCAUGGCUGGAGGUCACAAAAGAUGGUGGCAGGACAUGGCGGAAGCACGGUCCUAUAUACAUAGAAGGUGAAACACUUGGGGUGAUUCAGCCAGUUCCAUACCAAACUGCCAAUGGGACAAUUCGGAUGCUUUUGCGAUCUUUUGAGACAAUUGGCCGUGUCUGCCUGGCCGAUUCUGCCGAUGGUGGUGUGACAUGGAGUUACGCGCAUAAGACUGAGCUUCCUAAUCCAAAUUCUGGGAUCGAUGGAGUUAAGAUGAAGGAUGGAAGAGUACUAGUUGCUUACAACACUUUCUCCAGGGGCACACUUAAGAUUGCAGUCUCCAUGGAUGACGGUGAUUCAUGGAACGAAGUAAUGACACUAGAGGACACCAAAGGUAUGGAGUUCUCAUAUCCUGCGGUAAUCCAGACCAUGGAUGAGCUCGUACAUAUUACAUACACAUACAACCGGACGCAGAUUAAGCAUGUCGUUCUUCGGCAUAGUGAGACAUGA